CCUCAGUAUCAACUCCCUGAAUCCACACCUCUGGAGGUUGGGUCCCAGGAAGUUAAUUUUUUUUAAGAGACAGGAUCUCCCUCUGUCACCCAUGCUGGAGUACAGUAGCACGAUUCUAGCUCACUGCAGCCUUGAACUCCUGGGCUCAAGCAAUCCUCCUGCUUCGGACUCCAGAGAAGCUGGGACUAUAGAGAGGGGAUCUUAUGUUGUUGCCCAGGCUGGUCUCAAACUCCUAGCCUCAAGUGAUAUACUACUCCUGCCUCAGUCUCCCGAAGUGUUGGGAUUACAGGUGCAAACCACUGCACCUGGCUGGAUGUGGACUUUUUAAGGAACUCCUCAUGGAUCCUGAGAAGUAUACAGGUCAUGAAACCUAGGAAGGAUUUUCUGACCUUCUCCUGAAGCGGAUCACAAGACCCUCAUGUGAGAGGUGGAGGAAAGGAACGUCCUUAUUUCUGAAGACACAAUGACACAAGAAUCUGUACAAACAGGCUUUGCCAAAUUUCCCCCAGUUUAUAACCAUUAGAUCUCCUUUGUUCAAUCAUACUUCCCCCAUGACUGUCCACUGUGCAUUAAACCUAGCAUAAAAAUACACAAGUUUGACCAUUUCUUUGGGUCUUCCUUUCCUUAUGAAGUCUCCUACGUCAUAUAAGACUUAUGAAAUAAACUUGGAUGCUUUUUCUCCUGUUAAUCUGUCUUUGUCUAAUUUUUAGACCCAGCCAGGGACCCUAAGAGGGUUAAGGAAAAGCUUUUGUUUCCUACAUUGCCUAUCAGAAAGUCCUUUCAGAAAGAA
rnacentral:lncRNA from 10 species